CAAGUCGAACGGGACAUUAUUUGUAGCAAUACAGAUGAUGUUCAGUGGCGCAAGGGUGCGUAACACGUGAGCAACCUGCCUUGAAGUGGGGGAUAGCUCGCCGAAAGGCGAAUUAAUACCGCAUGUGGUAGCAAUACUAAAGCCGGGGCAACCUGGCGCUUCUUGAUGGGCUCGCGGCCUAUCAGCUAGUUGGUGAGGUAAUAGCUCACCAAGGCUAUGACGGGUAGCUGGUCUGAGAGGACGACCAGCCACACUGGAACUGAGACACGGUCCAGACACCUACGGGUGGCAGCAGUCGAGAAUUUUUCUCAAUGGGGGAAACCCUGAAGGAGCGACGCCGCGUGGAGGAUGAAGGUCUUCGGAUUGUAAACUCCUGUCAUUGGUGAACAAAGUCACAAGUUAACUGCUUUGUGAUAUGCUAGUAGCCGAAGAGGAAGGGACGGCUAACUCUGUGCCAGCAGCCGCGGUAAUACAGAGGUCCCAAGCGUUGUUCGGAUUCAUUGGGCGUAAAGGGUGCGUAGGCGGUGGGGUAAGUUGGAUGUGAAAUCUUGGGGCUUAACCUCAAAAUUGCAUUCAAUACUGCUCCGCUCGAGUUCUGUAGAGGAGAUUGGAAUUUACGGUGUAGCAGUGAAAUGCGUAGAUAUCGUAAGGAACGCCAGUGGCGAAAGCGAAUCUCUGGGCAGCAACUGACGCUGAGGCACGAAGGCCAGGGGAGCAAACGGGAUUAGAUACCCCGGUAGUCCUGGCAGUAAACGGUGCGCGUUUGGUGUGGGCAGGUUCGACCCUGUCCGCGCCGAAGCUAACGCAUUAAACGCGCCGCCUGGGAAGUACGAUCGCAAGAUUAAAAACUCAAAGAAAUUGACGGGGGCCCGCACAAGCGGUGGA
rnacentral:rRNA from 1 species